UAUUUGAAUACAGAUAUUUAGUAACACCUACUCAAUAAUUUCCCCUCUCCAAUUGCAUGAUCACAUUACAUCUAUCAUUUCGAACCUUGUACUAG